rnacentral:rRNA from 1 species
UACGAAGGGGGCUAGCGUUGCUCGGAAUCACUGGGCGUAAAGCGCACGUAGGCGGCUUUUUAAGUCAGGGGUGAAAUCCUGGAGCUUAACUCCAGAACUGCCUUUGAUACUGAGAAGCUUGAGUCCGGGAGAGGUGAGUGGAACUGCGAGUGUAGAGGUGAAAUUCGUAGAUAUUCGCAAGAACACCAGUGGCGAAGGCGGCUCACUGGCCCGGUACUGACGCUGAGGUGCGAAAGCGUGGGGAGCAAACAGG